rnacentral:tRNA from 1 species
UCUAUUUUGGCAGAUUAGUGCAUUAAAUUUAGAAUUUAUAUAUAUAUAAUUUUUUUUAUAUAAAUAGAA